UAAUGUAUGGGGAUCUGCCUGAUGGCGGGGGAUAACUACUGGAAACGGUAGCUAAUGCCGCAUAAUGUCUGCGGACCAAAGCGGGGGACCUCCGGGCCUCGCGCCAUCAGAUGAACCCAUAUGGGAUUAGCUUGUAGGUAAGGUAACGGCUUACCUAGGCGACGAUCCCUAGCUGGUCUGAGAGGAUGAUCAGCCACACUGGGACUGAGACACGGCCCAG
rnacentral:rRNA from 1 species